AUCUCUCAAACGCUCAACUACAACAUGAGCUCAAUCUCAAAGAAUUCCAAGAUUUCACUCAGAAAGACACCAAGAAGAAGAAGAAGAAACACCCCAAUCUCUCAAAGAAGAAGAAGACUACAUCUACGUGCCUGCAAAGCUCAAAGAAGCACCUCCAAUGGUGGACGCUCUUGCUCCAAGGUCUCAGACAAGCUGGAGGCUCUCAAGAACCUCAUUCCUCCCCACAGUCGAGAGAUUGUAAAAGAUGACCAGUUGUUUCAAGAAACUGCAAAUUACAUUCUCCUCUUGAGGACCCAAGUCUUUGUUUUGCAGAGAUUGAUUGAGUUCUAUGGAUCUAAUACAACUGACGCAAACACUAAUGCUGUAUUAUAGUAUCUUGCUGCUAGCUAAUUUAUUAAUGAAAAAAGAGAGGAUCUCUUCUUGGUCGUUUAGAUUUUCUACAUGGGUUUGUUGAGGAGAAAGUGGAGGGAAAUGGGAAGGAAAAAAAAGUUUUUGGAGCUUAUAUUAUCAUUCAUACAUGACUCACAACCCUUAGAGAAGCUGCUGUGUUUCUGGGUUUUCCAAGAUUUUCUAUUUUCUUUCACUUUCUCUUCAUGUUAUUUAUUAUUUUCUUUAAUUUUCUGGUAUUGUAAUUUUCUUUAGUUAGCUUCUAUCAUUUCUGGGUUAUUGUUGUGACAAUAAGAAGAAUCCCAGUUUCUAUAACAUUGGGAUUUGAAAGUUUAGAAUUUUGGCCUCGUAGAUUUCAAUCAAGUUACUUAUUUCAGGAAGAGAAAGAAAGAUCAAAAGAAAAGAAAAAGAUAUCCUAUAUCCAACACCAGAAUUCUCUUUCUAUAUUUCUAACCUGGAGUGUGACUGUGUACUAGCUAGUGCAGAGAAGAAGGCUGGAAAUAGCCUGUUCUGCAUGAUUUGUUUUUCUCCCAAAAUGGAUUGGAGUAAAAUGAGGUUGGGGCCUGCUUGGGCAGACAUAUUAGCACCAAAAAUUGCAGAAUGUAGGAGUAUGGGUGGGAGGUAAGCAUGGUGAGUACAGUCACAGCAAAAAAGUGGGUGCAUUCUGAUAAAUUAGCAUAAUAUCUCAGUGAAAUGGGCAGCUUUGCCCUUGUCUCUCUUGCCAUACUGUCAUUGCGAUGAUAGUGUCUACUUACUCCUGCUGCCAAAGAAAACCCAUGUGCUAAAGCCAAAUUUUAAGGGCCUUUUUUGCCUUCUUUCUUUUUUUUGGAUUUGUGAUUCAGACUUCAGAGUGCCUGGUUCUGUAGAUUACUGUAAUUAAUCAUCUCCUAAUAUUAAGGAAUCAUCACAACUAAUGUCCUUUAGUUCUUGCUUUUUGUGCAGUACAAGAAUCCACUUUAUGGUGGAAGGGUUAAUUAAUAGGCAUUUGAUUUCCUUCUAUGUAUUUCUG
rnacentral:misc_RNA from 1 species